CGGCCACAAAUUUUUGCUCAUAUCUACAACAUAGAUUUGAUCAUUUUCCAAAAAUAAUAAAAGACUAAUAAACGAUUUUGCAUUGAGAACCUUAAAUUAUUUCUAAAUCUAUUGGGCCUUCUUUAUUUUUUCUAUUUAGUUAUUUAUGGACUGGAACCAUAAUGUAUUUAUCUUUCUAUUUCACUAGUACAAAAGUGCUCAAAGCCAGCGGUGG
rnacentral:lncRNA from 1 species